AAGUACUCUUUGCUAUAGUUCUACGCAAUUAUUCUAAAGUCAAGACAAGCAAACUCAACAAUUUACUUCAGAUUCAAAUACAAGUUUAUACGACAUGGAUGCGAAAAUGUGGUCUAUCUUGGCGCUUAUUGCAAUGUGUGCUGGGAAACUAUAUAUCCACCAGGAAGAUCUUCGAAUUUCCUACAAUAAAAUCGUUUCCCAGAUCAGAAAUGAGACGAUUGUGGUCCUCAAGAAUUUCAUGGGCUUUAUAAAUAAAAUGCAGCAUAAGAUAAAAAAAUGUCGGAUCGAAGCGAAAAAAAAUUUUGGGACCCGAGCGGGAGCUAUGUUGUGUGCGCCUGAGGGAGUUUUCAAUUUAUUUGGCUAAUUUCAAUUAGCCAACUGCACAAAUGGAGACGCAAAGAAUGCUGCUGCAGUGUUCUCUGUAGUUUACUUAAUUAAUGUUGUUCAGGAUGGGGCUUAGGGAACUUCGGCCGUUUCCGUUUCCCUCCCCGAAGUAAAGCGACACUAAAAAGAAGCCCCAAAAAGUAUGCAACGAAAAUAGUACGACAGAGGAAACUCUAGAAUCCGAUUACAAGAACUUAUUUGCGCAGAAAGAGAAAUGUGAGAAAAUAUAACCGUAAACAAAAAAAGAAUAUUUCCAUAAUAACACUUAAUAAUACAUUUCGUAAUUCUGUAAGUUUUCAUAACUUAAAAUGUCAUAAAGAAACAAGCAGUCAUUGUUUGUGCCAAGAAAUAAUAAAAACUUAA
rnacentral:sRNA from 1 species